rnacentral:piRNA from 1 species
UCCCUGAUUUCACAUGUCCUGUCCUGC